GGUGCCGUGGCCGAGCGGUCCAAGGCGAUCGCCGCGGGGAAGGUCCUCCGCGCGGCGACUCGAUGAGGCAGGGGCGGACCUGUCCCGUCUCGUCCGCGGGUUCGAAUCCCGUCGGCAUCG
rnacentral:tRNA from 1 species